GAUUAUUUACUCAAGGGAGUAAUUUUGUUUUGAAAGCAAAAAAGAAGUGUUCAAUUCACUUAGUAAUCU
rnacentral:tRNA from 1 species